UACGGGGGGGGGCAAGCGUUGUUCGGAAUUACUGGGCGUAAAGGGCUCGUAGGCGGCCAACUAAGUCAGACGUGAAAUCCCCAGGCUCAACCUGGGAACUGCGUCUGAUACUGGAUGGCUUGAAUCCGGGAGAGGGAUGCAGAAUUCCAGGUGUAGCGGUGAAAUGCGUAGAUAUCUGGAGGAAUACCGGUGGCGAAGGCGGCAUCCUGGCCCGAUACUGACGCUGAGGCGCGAAAGCUAGGGGAGCAAACGGG
rnacentral:rRNA from 1 species